UACGUAGGGUGCAAGUGUUAUCCGGAAUCACUGGGCGUAAAGCGUCUGUAGGUGGUUCGAAAAGUCCACUGUUAAAAAUUGAGGCUUAACUUCAAAGAUGCCGUGGAAACUUUCAAGCUAGAGUAUGGUAGGGGUAGAGGGAAUUUCCAGUGGAGCGGUGAAAUGCGUAGAUAUUGGAAAGACCACCGAUGGCGAAGGCACUCUACUGGGCCAUUACUGACACUGAGAGACGAAAGCUAGGGGAGCAAAUGGG
rnacentral:rRNA from 1 species